UACAGAGGGUGCAAGCGUUAAUCGGAUUUACUGGGCGUAAAGCGUGUGUAGGUGGCUCGCUAAGUCGGUUGUGAAAUCCCUGGGCUCAACCUGGGAAUUGCAGUCGAUACUGAUGAGCUCGAGUUCGGUAGAGGGUGACGGAAUUCCCGGUGUAGCGGUGAAAUGCGCAGAUAUCAGGAGGAACACCAAUAGCGAAGGCAGCUCGCUGGGACGUUACUGACACUGAGGCGCGAAAGCGUGGGGAGCGAACAGG
rnacentral:rRNA from 1 species